GAUGAACGCUGGCGGCGUGCCUAAUACAUGCAAGUCGAGCGAACAGAUAAGGAGCUUGCUCCUUUGACGUUAGCGGCGGACGGGUGAGUAACACGUGGAUAACCUACCUAUAAGACUGGGAUAACUUCGGGAAACCGGAGCUAAUACCGGAUAACAUAUUGAACCGCAUGGUUCAAUAGUGAAAGGCGGCUUUGCUGUCACUUAUAGAUGGAUCCGCGCCGUAUUAGCUAGUUGGUAAGGUAACGGCUUACCAAGGCAACGAUACGUAGCCGACCUGAGAGGGUGAUCGGCCACACUGGAACUGAGACACGGUCCAGACUCCUACGGGAGGCAGCAGUAGGGAAUCUUACGCAAUGGGCGAAAGCCUGACGGAGCAACGCCGCGUGAGUGAUGAAGGUCUUCGGAUCGUAAAAAUCUGUUAUCAGGGAAGAACCAAUGUGUAAGUAACUGUGCACAUCUUGACGGUACCUGAUCAGAAAGCCACGGCUAACUACGUG
rnacentral:rRNA from 1 species